rnacentral:misc_RNA from 1 species
GAUGAAGAACGUAGCGAAAUGCGAUAAGUAGUGUGAAUUGCAGAAUUCCGUGAAUCAUCGAAUCUUUGAACGCACAUUGCGCCUUCUGGUAUUCCGGAAGGCAUGCCUGUUCGAGAGUCAUUAACAACCGUUUCGAUCCCUUUCUUUCAGAAAUUACAAAGAGGAAAAGGGUUUGGUUAUGGUGGAGGAGGGCAAGGGAGCGUUUAGCCUGUAAAAAAAGAGGCUGUGUUCCGCCUCCCCCCCAAAAUUGUACAGGCGGUCGUGUGCGCCCACGCAUCGAGGUGUUGUAAAAGCUGCCACGGCACUUUUCACCUGUGCAGUGCGAGAUUGGCCAGCCGGUUUAAAAACCCCUCCAAACAAUCAAAGGUUGACCUCGGAUCAGGUAGGGAUACCCGCUGAACUUAAGCAUAUCAAUAAGCGGAGGA